ensembl:lncRNA
GUCUGUGUGACUUCUAGUGUUACAAUUAUCUUUGGAGAAGGGACAAAAUUAACAGUACAAUCAAAGAAAGUAGAAACACCAGCCUAUUACAGAUUUAAUAAGUCAUGUUUGGCAACCGACUUCACAAAACAUGAUGCUGUAAACUUCAUAGACGUUACACCAGUGCGAUAUUCAGGCCAAAAUUACUACAGCAGCUUCACCUUUAAUGAUUCAGAAGCCUGCCCAGAAAAAGACUGUAAGUCAGGAUCAUCUGGUCAAAAUGCUGAUUUUGAAACCGGUAAGUGUGCUUUUAUUUGCACAUUUAUAUAGUCUGCUGUGCGUUU